rnacentral:rRNA from 1 species
ACGGAAGGCAGCAGUGGGGGAUAUUGCACAAUGGAGGAAACUCUGAUGCAGCAACGCCGCGUGAAGGAAGAAGGCCUUCGGGUUGUAAACUUCUGUCCUUGGUGACGAUAAUGACGGUAGCCAAGGAGGAGGCCACGGCUAACUACGUGCCAGCAGCCGCGGUAAUACGUAGGUGGCAAGCGUUGUCCGGAAUUACUGGGUGUAAAGGGUGCGUAGGCGGCUCAUAAAGUCAGAUGUGAAAUACCGAGGCUUAACCUCGGAGCUGCAUUUGGAACUUAUGGGCUUGAGUGAAGUAGAGGUAAGCGGAAUUCCUAGUGUAGCGGUGAAAUGCGUAGAUAUUAGGAGGAACACCAGUGGCGAAGGCGACUUACUGGGCUUUAACUGACGCUGAGGCACGAAAGCAUGGGUAGCAAACAGGAUUAGAUACCCUGGUA